UUCCCUGUUCCCAACGAUGAA
rnacentral:piRNA from 1 species